GCCCGCUCAGAAACUCAAUGAAUUGACGGGGCCCGCACAAGCGGUGGAGUAUGUGGUUUAAUUCGAUGCAACGCGAAGAACCUUACCUGGUCUUGACAUCCCGGAGACCCUUAGGAAACUAGGGGGUGCUUCCAUCUGGAAGAAUCUGGAGACAGGUGCUGCAUGGCUGUCGUCAGCUCGUGUCGUGAGAUGUUGGGUUAAGUCCCGCAACGAGCGCAACCCUUGCCUUUAGUUGCCAGCAGUUCGGCUGGGCACUCUAAAGGGACUGCCGGUGUUAAACCGGAGGAAGGUGGGGAUGACGUCAAGUCCUCAUGGCCUUUAUGACCAGGGCUACACACGUACUACAAUGGCCGAUACAAAGGGCAGCGACACUGCGAGGUGAAGCCAAUCCCGUAAAAUCGGUCUCAGUCCGGAUUGGAGUCUGCAACUCGACUCCAUGAAGUUGGAAUCGCUAGUAAUCGUGGAUCAGCAUGCCACGGUGAAUACGUUCCCGGGCCUU
rnacentral:rRNA from 1 species